UACGUAGGGUGCAAGCGUUGUCCGGAAUUAUUGGGCGUAAAGAGCUCGUAGGCGGUCUGUCGCGUCGGCUGUGAAAACCUGGGGCUUAACUCCGGGCCUGCAGCCGAUACGGGCAGACUAGAGUUCGGCAGGGGAGACUGGAAUUCCUGGUGUAGCGGUGAAAUGCGCAGAUAUCAGGAGGAACACCGGUGGUGUAGACGGCUUUCUGGACCGUAACUGACGCUGAGGAGCGAAAGCGUGGGGAGCGAACAGG
rnacentral:rRNA from 1 species